rnacentral:rRNA from 1 species
AUGAAUUGUGUCAGUUUGAAGAGCAUACCAUUCUUUCUCCAGUUAGUUGGGUCACUUGGCAAUACAUCACGGUCAGACAACAUUAAUCGUCUUGAAGAGUUAGUCAUAACAGGAUGUGGUCAAAUCAAUUGGCAAGGCUCGGUGGUCUUACCUACUUCUCUUAGCAAGAUAGACCUUGAGAGACCGGGCUAUUCCAUGGAUCGUUUCAUGAGGGGCUUCCUUGACCUCACCUCCCUCACUUAUUUGAAAAUACAUCGCUGCGACUCGUUGACAGCUAUUCCCUUGCAUGUGUGGAGAAGCAAUCUUCCAUCCCUGGAGGUACUAGAUAUCUAUUUUUGCAAUAACCUUACAUCAAUAGUCUCUGAAGCAAGUAGUAGCAGUAGCACCACCAAUGGCGGUAUUAAAGGAUUGUCAUCCCUUGCUAAGAUACGUAUUACAUGGUGUCCGAAAUUAUUGAGCUUGCAUGAAUUCCUGCAGCCAGAUUGUCUACCUGCCGUGAAGAACAUUGAGGUUUCCUUUUGUAAAGAGUUGAUAUCCCCCUCUGUUGAUAGGCUCGACGGGUUGCAGCAGUUGACAAUUGAAGGUUCUGAUAAGUGUAAUAUGGAGAGGGCAAUGAUAUUACCAUCCUCUCUUAAGAAGCUCAGCUUGAAGAAUUGUCAGGGCAUAGAAUCCAUCAACCUCGCCAAUGGCCAGUCGGCAAGUUCUCCAGUGUUGGAGAAACUUGUCAUUGUCAACUGUUCAGACCUCAAGUCCAUUGGUGGUGCAGAAGCUGUUGAUAAAAUAAAGACAUUGUGUAUAUGUGGGUGCAACGAGCUCAAGGAAAUACGACAGCCACUCCGUCGCUGA